UACGGAGGGAGCUAGCGUUGUUCGGAAUUACUGGGCGUAAAGCGCACGUAGGCGGCGAUUCAAGUCAGAGGUGAAAGCCCGGGGCUCAACCCCGGAACUGCCUUUGAAACUAGAUUGCUAGAAUCCUGGAGAGGUGAGUGGAAUUCCGAGUGUAGAGGUGAAAUUCGUAGAUAUUCGGAAGAACACCAGUGGCGAAGGCGACUCACUGGACAGGUAUUGACGCUGAGGUGCGAAAGCGUGGGGAGCAAACAGGG
rnacentral:rRNA from 1 species